rnacentral:rRNA from 1 species
AACGAACGCUGGCGGCAGGCCUAACACAUGCAAGUCGAGCGCUCUCUUCGGAGGGAGCGGCGGACGGGUGAGUAACGCGUGGGAACGUACCUUCUUCUUGGGAAUAUCCACUGGAAACGGUGAGCAAUGCCCGAUACGCCCUUUGGGGGAAAGAUUUAUCGGAGGAAGAUCGGCCCGCGUCUGAUUAGAUAGUUGGUGGGGUAACGGCCUACCAAGUCUACGAUCAGUAGCUGGUUUGAGAGGAUGAUCAGCCACACUGGGACUGAGACACGGCCCAG